CUUUAUAUAACACAAAAUACACUAACAGAUUUAAAAUUCAUUCAAAUAAGGUACAGCCUAUUUGAAACAGGAUACAACCUCUCACAGAGGGUAAUGCUUAUCAUAAGCGUGAUUAAGUGGGCCUAAAAGCAGCCACCUUUUAAAAAGCGUUAAAGCCUAAUCACACUAAAUUAUAAAUACCCAUCUAAGCCCAAAACCCCUUAACCCCUACUGAAUGACUUCAUACCUUUAUGAAAAUCCUUAUGUUAGAACCAGUAACAAGAAUAAUUAUUCUCCUACAAAUGUAAGUGUAAGCCGAAAUGGAACCCCCAUCGACACUCACCGCCAAUGAGCCAAUAGUAAUAACCCCCCCCAAGAAAAUCUUACUCCUCCCAGCGUUAACCUUACACAAGAACUUUUCUGGAAAGAUUAAAAAAAGAGGAAG
rnacentral:rRNA from 1 species